AACUCUUCGGAGUUAGUGGCGGACGGGUGAGUAACACGUGGGAACGUGCCUUUAGGUUCGGAAUAACUCAGGGAAACUUGUGCUAAUACCGAAUGUGCCCUUCGGGGGAAAGAUUUAUCGCCUUUAGAGCGGCCCGCGUCUGAUUAGCUAGUUGGUGAGGUAAAGGCUCACCAANNCGACGAUCAGUAGCUGGUCUGAGAGGAUGAUCAGCCACAUUGGGACUGAGACACGGCCCAAACUCCUACGGGAGGCAGCAGUGGGGAAUCUUGCGCAAUGGGCGAAAGCCUGACGCAGCCAUGCCGCGUGAAUGAUGAAGGUCUUAGGAUUGUAAAAUUCUUUCACCGGGGACGAUAAUGACGGUACCCGGAGAAGAAGCCCCGGCUAACUUCGUGCCAGCAGCCGCGGUAAUACGAAGGGGGCUAGCGUUGCUCGGAAUUACUGGGCGUAAAGGGAGCGUAGGCGGACAUUUAAGUCAGGGGUGAAAUCCCGGGGCUCAACCUCGGAAUUGCCUUUGAUACUGGGUGUCUUGAGUAUGAGAGAGGUGUGUGGAACUCCGAGUGUAGAGGUGAAAUUCGUA
rnacentral:rRNA from 1 species